UACGUAGGGGGCUAGCGUUGUCCGGAAUCAUUGGGCGUAAAGCGCGCGUAGGCGGCCAGAUAAGUCCGGUGUGAAAGUCACAGGCUCAACCUGUGAAUGCCGCUGGAAACUGUCUGGCUAGAGUCCGGAAGGGGCGAGUGGAAUUCCUGGUGUAGCGGUGAAAUGCGCAGAUAUCAGGAGGAACACCAAUGGCGAAGGCAGCUCACUGGGACGGUAUUGACGCUGAGACGCGAAAGCGUGGGGAGCAAACAGG
rnacentral:rRNA from 1 species